ensembl:lncRNA
GAUACGUCUGAUGUCAGGCGAGGUUUUUUGUGGUGCUGAUUUUCAUUUCAUGUACGUGCCGCUGACCUGCUUUCACGCCUGUAAACUUGUGAGCAUUACUUCAAAGCAGCUCUCACAUUUUCACCCACUUUAAGAGCGACAGUUUUGCUCUGAGGGGGGUUUAUUAUUCAAGACCCACUCUGUGCCCAACUUAGGCAUGGAUCGACUGUGCAGUAUUAUCCUUGUUCUUUUACACACAGCAGGAGCUUUCAGUAUUGCCCUUGAAGAGAAAGAAACGAACGUCCAUCUGGAACCAAGGCACAUUAAAGUUUGUAAAGGAGCCUCAGUCACAAUGAAGUGCACUUUUCAGCCGAAUGAAAACUACAAAGUGAGCUGGCACUACAGCCAGACAGCUAUUUCAGACUGUAAAUCAGCUUCCAAGAUACCUGAAGAACAGCGUUUUUUAAAAAAGAAAAAAGACGAUUGGUCAACACUCAACAUUACUUUUAUCAAAGCCAAUGAGAGUGGAUGGUACUUCUGCCUGGUCACACAAGACAUCCCAACUCUCAUACAACAUUGCAGUAAUGGAACACAAGUUAUAGUCGAGGACCCCAGCAUCAACACCAGCACCAGAAACAGCACCAGCACCACAGAAUCUCAGACGCUAAAUCAGCCCACAGGAGAUUUACCUACAACCUGUAUAAACAAUGGUAAAUCUAAUGAUACAACAUUCUCUACACCAUUCCCGACAUCACCAUUUGGCUUUACUCAGUGGUGGAUAUGGCUAGCGUUGGCAGUUGGAUGCGUAGUACUUCUGGUAUCAAUUGUUGUCAUAUGCAUCUUGACACGCAAACCUGAAGACCUCAUUUAUGAGAACACCAAACCAGUGGAAUCGAGCUGCUGGAGGCGAAACCGGACUAAGACGGACAUCUGCGACCUGCCUUCAUCCAAAAAAACCGACACCAUUAAACCGCUGAGGAAGUACGACACUCUUUCAAGCAACAGAAUCCGAAGGCCCUAA